AGUGAACGCUGGCGGUAGGCCUAACACAUGCCAGUCGAACGGCAGCACAGUAAGAGCUUGCUCUUACGGGUGGCGAGUGGCGGACGGGUGAGGAAUACAUCGGAAUCUACUUUUUCGUGGGGGAUAACGUAGGGAAACUUACGCUAAUACCGCAUACGACCUACGGGUGAAAGCAGGGGAUCUUCGGACCUUGCGCGAUUGAAUGAGCCGAUGUCGGAUUAGCUAGUUGGCGGGGUAAAGGCCCACCAAGGCGACGAUCCGUAGCUGGUCUGAGAGGAUGAUCGGCCACACUGGAACUGAGACACGGUCCAGACUCCUACGGGAGGCAGCAGUGGGGAAUAUUGGACAAUGGGCGAAAGCCUGAUCCAGCCAUACCGCGUGGGUGAAGAAGGCCUUCGGGUUGUAAAGCCCUUUUGUUGGGAAAGAAAAGCAGCAGGUUAAUACCCCGCUGUUCUGACGGUACCCAAAGAAUAAGCACCGGCUAACUUCGUG
rnacentral:rRNA from 1 species